GAUGAACGCUGGCGGCGUGCCUAAUACAUGCAAGUCGAGCGAACGGACGAGAAGCUUGCUUCUCUGAUGUUAGCGGCGGACGGGUGAGUAACACGUGGAUAACCUACCUAUAAGACUGGGAUAACUUCGGGAAACCGGAGCUAAUACCGGAUAAUAUUUUGAACCGCAUGGUUCAAAAGUGAAAGACGGUCUUGCUGUCACUUAUAGAUGGAUCCGCGCUGCAUUAGCUAGUUGGUAAGGUAACGGCUUACCAAGGCAACGAUGCAUAGCCGACCUGAGAGGGGGAUCCGCCCCCCCUGAACCUGGGCACGGUCCAGGCUCCUAAGGGAGGCCGCAGUAGGGAAUUUUUCGGAAAUGGCGGAAGCCCUGCCGGGGCACCGCGGGUGGGUUAUUAAGGUCUUUCGAUCGGAAAAACCUGUUAUUAGGGAAGAAACAAUGUGUAAGUUACUGUUGACCACUUGACGGGUCCCAAUCAGAAAGCCACGGCUAACUACGUG
rnacentral:rRNA from 1 species